GCAGGUAUAGUGUAGCGGUAACACAUUAGCCUUCCAAGCUGAGAUCACGGGUUCGAGUCCCGUUACCUGCUCCA
rnacentral:tRNA from 4 species